CUUUCGGACCCAAAAAAACAGCCUGAAAUGCGGUCAUAUUUUCAGAUGUUUCUCCAAUAGUCAUCUCUUUGGGCAACAGAUUUUCUGAGGCUGUCCAAAAGGAAAUUAUCAUUGCAGGUGUGAGCACCCUACUGUGAAGGAAUGCCGUGUUACAAUGUAGGUCAAGAUUUAACCAACUGUGAAAAACAAACAAACUAUAAAAAUCAUCAUAAGUUCCUGCUGUGAUCUUCUGGAAUGUACAAUCUAAAAGAAGUAUACCUUACUGUUAUUCUUCAAUGUUAAACUACGUGGCCAAAAAGCAAAUCAAUUUGGAGUGGAAAAUGGUCCAUAUGCAUCUCAAUAAAAGCAAUUUUAUCUACUUGUA